rnacentral:rRNA from 1 species
AAAUUGAAGAGUUUGAUCAUGGCUCAGAUUGAACGCUGGCGGCAGGCCUAACACAUGCAAGUCGAGCGGUAGCACAGAGAGCUUGCUCUCGGGUGACGAGCGGCGGACGGGUGAGUAAUGUCUGGGAAACUGCCUGAUGGAGGGGGAUAACUACUGGAAACGGUAGCUAAUACCGCAUAACGUCGCAAGACCAAAGUGGGGGACCUUCGGGCCUCAUGCCAUCAGAUGUGCCCAGAUGGGAUUAGCUAGUAGGUGGGGUAACGGCUCACCUAGGCGACGAUCCCUAGCUGGUCUGAGAGGAUGACCAGCCACACUGGAACUGAGACACGGUCCAGACUCCUACGGGAGGCAGCAGUGGGGAAUAUUGCACAAUGGGCGCAAGCCUGAUGCAGCCAUGCCGCGUGUGUGAAGAAGGCCUUCGGGUUGUAAAGCACUUUCAGCGGGGAGGAAGGCGGUGAGGUUAAUAACCUCAUCGAUUGACGUUACCCGCAGAAGAAGCACCGGCUAACUCCGUGCCAGCAGCCGCGGUAAUACGGAGGGUGCAAGCGUUAAUCGGAAUUACUGGGCGUAAAGCGCACGCAGGCGGUCUGUCAAGUCGGAUGUGAAAUCCCCGGGCUCAACCUGGGAACUGCAUUCGAAACUGGCAGGCUAGAGUCUUGUAGAGGGGGGUAGAAUUCCAGGUGUAGCGGUGAAAUGCGUAGAGAUCUGGAGGAAUACCGGUGGCGAAGGCGGCCCCCUGGACAAAGACUGACGCUCAGGUGCGAAAGCGUGGGGAGCAAACAGGAUUAGAUACCCUGGUAGUCCACGCCGUAAACGAUGUCGAUUUGGAGGUUGUGCCCUUGAGGCGUGGCUUACGGAGCUAACGCGUUAAAUCGACCGCCUGGGGAGUACGGCCGCAAGGUUAAAACUCAAAUGAAUUGACGGGGGCCCGCACAAGCGGUGGAGCAUGUGGUUUAAUUCGAUGCAACGCGAAGAACCUUACCUGGUCUUGACAUCCACAGAACUUAGCAGAGAUGCUUUGGUGCCUUCGGGAACUGUGAGACAGGUGCUGCAUGGCUGUCGUCAGCUCGUGUUGUGAAAUGUUGGGUUAAGUCCCGCAACGAGCGCAACCCUUAUCCUUUGUUGCCAGCGGUUCGGCCGGGAACUCAAAGGAGACUGCCAGUGAUAAACUGGAGGAAGGUGGGGAUGACGUCAAGUCAUCAUGGCCCUUACGACCAGGGCUACACACGUGCUACAAUGGCAUAUACAAAGAGAAGCGACCUCGCGAGAGCAAGCGGACCUCAUAAAGUAUGUCGUAGUCCGGAUUGGAGUCUGCAACUCGACUCCAUGAAGUCGGAAUCGCUAGUAAUCGUAGAUCAGAAUGCUACGGUGAAUACGUUCCCGGGCCUUGUACACACCGCCCGUCACACCAUGGGAGUGGGUUGCAAAAGAAGUAGGUAGCUUAACCUUCGGGAGGGCGCUUACCACUUUGUGAUUCAUGACUGGGGUGAAGUCGUAACAAGGUAACCGUAGGGGAACCUGCGGUUGGAUCACCUCCUUACCUUAAAGAA